rnacentral:RNase_P_RNA from 2 species
AUCGGUAGGACUAAACAACCUACACAAAACCAAACAAAAGAAGAAGUAUUAGAUACUCCAUAAUAUGGGAAGGUCUGAGAUGGCGAUAAUCCCUAAGUGGGAAAUUGGCUUCAAGCCAGUGUCGGGGGAACCAGAAACAAGUACUCAAAUGCACAAUGACUAGUCAAAGAAGCCAUCCUUCGGGACGACAGAGACUCUUGUGCUAACAAGUUGAAACGAGCCCCUGGUGCCAACGAACUCAAUGCAGUUGGAUAUGCUCGGCUGAUUCAUUCAAUCAGUAACUCAAUUCAGACUACUCUCUACCAAU